GGAGAGUGAGGGAUGCGGCAAACCCAUCCGGCUGUAAACCGGACGCCCCAGGCAACGCGCGGUUCGAUUCCGUGGCUCUCCACCA
rnacentral:tRNA from 1 species